rnacentral:misc_RNA from 1 species
AACAUCGCGCACCUGCGGGAACCUGCGGACGGAUCAUUAUCGAAUAAAUCUGGCAUGGUUGUAGCUGGCUCUUAGGAGCAUGUGCACGCCUGUCACCUUUAUCUUUCCACCUGUGCACCCUUUGUAGUCCCAGGAUAACCUCUCGCGCACUCUGGUGUUGCGGAUGCGAAGGUUGUCGUGUCUCACCAGGCCGGCUUCCAUCGAAUUUCCUGGGUCUAUGUUUUCUUAUACACCCCUGUA